GACGUAGGGCGCGAGCGUUGUCCGGAUUUAUUGGGCGUAAAGAGCUCGUAGGCGGUCUGUUGCGUCCGCUGUGAAAACUCGGGGCUUAACCCCGAGCCUGCAGUGGAUACGGGCAGACUAGAGGUAGGUAGGGGAGAAUGGAAUUCCCGGUGUAGCGGUGAAAUGCGCAGAUAUCGGGAGGAACACCGGUGGCGAAGGCGGUUCUCUGGGCCUUACCUGACGCUGAGGAGCAAAAGCGUGGGGAGCGAACAGG
rnacentral:rRNA from 1 species